GACGAACGCUGGCGGCGUGCCUAAUACAUGCAAGUCGAACGGAAAGGUCCUGCUUCUGUCGCGUGCUCGAGUGGCGAACGGGUGAGUAACACGUGAGUAACCUGCCCGCGACAUUGGGAUGACUUCAGGUAACUAAGGCUAAUACCUGCUAGGAGCUCCUGCUGCAUGGUGGGGGUAGGAUAGAAUCGGCGGUUGGGGAAGGACUUGCGGUGCCUCAGCUUGUUGGUGGGGUAAUGGCCUACCAAGGCGUGGACGGGUAGACGGCGUGUGAGAGGGAUCGGCGACAUGGGGACGGAGACACGGCCCAGACGCCUACGGGAGGCCGCAGAAGGGAAUCUGAGGCAAUGGGGGAAAGCCUGACGGAGCAAGGGGGAGCCUGUGAAGAAGGCGCUCGGUGCGUAAAGACCGGUUGCGAGGGAAGAACCGCUUUCGCCUGUCAAGAAGCGUGAGUGACGGUACCGGGUAAAAAAGCACCGGCUAACUACGUG
rnacentral:rRNA from 1 species